ACGGGGGGGCACAAGCGGUGGAGCAUUGGUUUAAUUUGAAGCAACGCGAAGAACCUUACCAGGUCUUGACAUCCCUGACCACCAAGAAAUAGGGUUUCCCUUUGGGGCCCAGAGUGACAGGUGGGCAUGGUUGUUCAGCUGUGUGUGAGAUGUUGGGUUAAGUCCCGCAACGAGCGCACCCUUAUUUAGUUCCUCAUUUAGUUGGGCACUCUAAGGWGACUGCCGGUGACAAACCGGAGGAAGGUGGGGAUGACGUCAAUCAUCAUGCCCCUUAUGCCUGGGCUACACACGUGCUACAAUGGWCGUACAAAGGGUUGCCAACGCGAGRKGGAGCUAAUCUAUAAACGUUCUCAGUUCGGAUCGUAGCUGCAACUGCUCGGAAGUCGGAAUCGCU
rnacentral:rRNA from 1 species